rnacentral:rRNA from 1 species
AACGAACGCUGGCGGCGUGCUUAACACAUGCAAGUCGAACGAGAAAGCGGGCUUCGGUCCGUGAGUAAAGUGGCAGACGGGUGAGUAACACGUGGGUAACCUGCCCGGAGGUGGGGGAUAACCCUUCGAAAGGAGGGCUAAUACCGCAUGACAUCUCGAUCUCUUCGGCGAACGAGAUCAAAGCUGGCCUCUGUUUACAUGCUAGCGCCACCGGAGGGGCCCGCGCCCCAUUAGCUUGUUGGUGAGGUAAAGGCUCACCAAGGCGACGAUGGGUAGCCGGCCUGAGAGGGUGUUCGGCCACACUGGAACUGAGACACGGUCCAGACUCCUACGGGAGGCAGCAGUGAGGAAUUUUGCGCAAUGGGCGAAAGCCUGACGCAGCGACGCCGCGUGGAGGACGAAGGUCUUCGGAUCGUAAACUCCUGUCAAGCGGGACGAAACCUGCAGGGAUGAAUAAGCCCUGCAGCUGACGGUACCGCUGGAGGAAGCCCCGGCUAACUCCGUG